rnacentral:rRNA from 1 species
GAUGAACGCUGGCGGCGUGCCUAAUACAUGCAAGUCGAGCGAACGGACGAGAAGCUUGCUUCUCUGAUGUUAGCGGCGGACGGGUGAGUAACACGUGGAUAACCUACCUAUAAGACUGGGAUAACUUCGGGAAACCGGAGCUAAUACCGGAUAAUAUUUUGAACCGCAUGGUUCAAAAGUGAAAGACGGUCUUGCUGUCACUUAUAGAUGGAUCCGCGCUGCAUUAGCUAGUUGGUAAGGUAACGGCUUACCAAGGCAACGAUGCAUAGCCGACCUGAGAGGGUGAUCGGCCACACUGGAACUGAGACACGGUCCAGACUCCUACGGGAGACAGCAGUAGGGAAUCUUCCGCAAUGGGCGAAAGCCUGACGGAGCAACGCCGCGUGAGUGAUGAAGGUCUUCGGAUCGUAAAACUCUGUUAUUAGGGAAGAACAUAUGUGCAAGUAACUGUGCACAUCUUGACGGUACCUAAUCAGAAAGCCACGGCUAACUACGUG